ACGGAUUCCAGCGGGCCUCGCAUUUUGGUUGAACUCACAGAGAGGAUUAUUCAUUUGUCUCGCUUUUGAAAACAAACCUCCUUUUUUCCUUACUUGACGCAGUGUGCAGUAUUUUUUUUCUCUGUCCUUUCUGUUUCUAAUCUUGUAUCUCCUGUAGCUGUACAACUGAACUGGGACUCUCUCAAAUUGCCGGUUUUCUGCACAGGAAGAGCUCAUCGGUCUUGAGCGGUGUCAUUAGCUAUUAGGGUGCCCACACGUCAAUGGUGCUGAGAAAAAAGAGAAAGGGGUGAAAUAUCUAGCAGAAUCGCGCUCAAUGUCAAUGAGAUUAUUAGUGCUUCAAGGGAGCAUGGAGGGUGUGUACACUCCGAUGAAGUACAUUAAUCAACUGAACUGCCGUGUGGGGUGAAAUGGACAUCGAAGGAGGGGCAGCGGAGAAAGGGAGAAGGCGCCCCACCUACCCCAACAACAUGCCCCACCCACUGCCCCACCACCCUCUACCCCAACCUCUGACAGGAGACACUGUCCUUUCAACAGCAGGACUGAUGCAUCCUGGGGGAAAUGGGCCAGGACAGCUGCAGAGAAACCCCGGCACCUCCUCAACAAGUGUCUCGGGAGGAAACGACUCCAGGGAGGAAAGCAGGGUCAUCCGGCAUCGACGGACAAUAAGCAGCUGAAUGUUAAUGUUAAUUAAUAUGUAAUUAUACAUUAGGUACAUUUUAGCUGUCACUGACCUGCAAAAACAGCAUUCAUUAUGCUACAGUCAGUGACGGAAUGCCAUAGCUGACUGCAGUUGGCCAGUUUUAGCCAUACUCUACCUCCGUUUCUGUUACUCUGAAGGCUUACAUACCAUGCUGCUACUCCACUGGUAACAUUCCAAAGUGGCAUCGAUGCAAUUGGCAUCUGUAUAGGUAAUAAAGUGUCAAUGUUUCCUUUCUUUAUGCCAGAUAAACUGCUGUGUGUCUUUCCUGGAUGCUCAGCCAUCAUUCGGUCCACGCCAGAAGGCCGAGCAGAGUAGGACUCCCUCUUGCCAAGCUGCAGCGCCACUCACGAGGCAGCGCAUCCGUCCAAGAUUUCGGCACAUUUGGAGCCAAGAAGAGCUGUGCUGAAACGUUCCCGAGCUGUUGAAUGCUGAACACAGUGGAAAAGCUGCCUGCUCACCGACCCGUUUGCGCAGAGGCCACACGACACGACGUUUAGCAGUUGCACUCUGACACUGGCAGAUGACAUGCCAUGUCACGUCUGAGCAGGGUUGGUGGGCGUUUGACACGAGCACGGACACCUCCACUGCUUCCAUACCAGCAGCAGCACACUUAUGCAGAACAAAUUGUUAAUGGAACAAAACGGCAAACAAAUUACCCUGGUGAUCUUCCAUUUGGUAUGGGAAGAAGCUGAGAGAACUAAAGGUGGCAGGGUUCGAUUCGAAUCUAAUCGUUUCUACUUUAAAGCUGCAGCAGGCUUUGAGGAUUAAUUUCUGAUGUAUGAAAACAAAUGGUUAUUUAAUCAUAAACCUCUCUCACCCCUAUUAUAAUGCUGUGGGGCAACUAUGUGAAAGCUUCUUUUUAUUCUCCACACAGUGGUUAGGGGCUGACUCAUAUUUCUCUGCCAACAAUGAUUGUUCUGUCAAAUAGGGAGGAUUCAGUCCUGCAAUUCCUUUGUUUCAUUACUGAACUAAAUUUGUAUCCAUACACUGCUACAGUAAUGUCAGAAU